rnacentral:rRNA from 1 species
AACGAACGCUGGCGGCGUGGAUAAGACAUGCAAGUCGAACGGGACAAGUAGCAAUAUUUGUCUAGUGGCGAACGGGUGCGUAACACGUGGGCAACAUGCCUGGAAGAGCGGGAUAGCCCGGGGAAACUCGGAUUAAUACCGCAUGUGACAACGGGGCGGAUUCGCCCUGUUUUCAAAGGUGGGGACCGCAAGGCCUGCCGCUUCCAGAUUGGCCCGCGCCCUAUCCGCUAGUUGGCGGGGUAACGGCCCACCAAGGCGACGACGGGUAGCUGGUCUGAGAGGACGACCAGCCACACUGGAACUGAGACACGGUCCAGACACCUACGGGUGGCAGCAGUCGAGAAUCUUUCACAAUGGGGGAAACCCUGAUGGAGCGACGCCGCGUGGAGGAUGACGGUCUUCGGAUUGUAAACUCCUGUCAUGAAAGAACAAGCGGAGCGGGUGAACAGCCCGCCGAGUUGAUAGUAUUUCAAGAGGAAGGGACGGCUAACUUCGUGCCAGCAGCCGCGGUAACAC